rnacentral:rRNA from 1 species
AUGGGUUGCAAGGGGUCCAAGCUGGACGAGCAGGAGGCGGUGGCGCUGUGCCGCGGCCGCGCCGACCUGCUCGCGGUCGCCGUCCGCCACCGCGACGCGCUCGGGGCCGCGCACGCCGCGCUCGCCGGCUCGCUCCUCUCCGUCUCCUCCUCGCUCCACCUCCUCCUCGUCUCCGCCUCCGCCCGCCCGCGCCCGGGGAUCACGCUCCCCGCCGCCGCCAAUGCCAAGGCCGUCGACCCCCCUCCAGCGGCGCAGCCCUCCUCGCCCCCGCACUCCUCCUCGCACAUCGACUUCGCGCCCUCCUCCGGAUCCGACUCCGGCUCCGUCGCCUCCUCGCCUCCCCGCCGCGUCGACGACGCCCGCCACGACCAACUCCACCACCCGCACCCGUACGCGCUUCAGUUCCCGCAUUACGGCUACGGCUACAGUUACGAGCCUGAGCCACCGUUCGGGUACCCGCCGGGGUCGCUGCAGCUCUACUACGCGCGGAGCCGCCCGCCUCCGGCCUCGGUCGCCGUCGAGCAGCGCGCGCCCGCGUCGGAGCGCGUCUACCUCGGCUCCUCCGACCCGGCGGGCGGGAACGCGCGGUAUUACUCGUACGGAGGAGUGACCACGCCGGCAGGUAGGGCGGCUGCACCCCCGCCGUCGCCGCCGAGGGCGAGCUCGUGGGACUUCUUCAAUGUGUUCGACGACUACCAGGUGCACGACAACUACUGUUACGAUGCUGCCGGCGCCGGGACCACGGCGACGACACCGUACACGCCGAGCCGGUGCUCGCGGGACGUGCGGGAGGAGGAGGGCAUCCCGGAGCUCGAGGAGGACGACGCGGUCGUCAAGGAGGUGUCCAGCGAGCACUAUAUGACCGGGAGUGGCGGUGCUCGCAGCCGACGCAGCUCGGUCGGCGGCAUGAGCAGCAGCGAAGAGGAGAAUUGUGUUGUCGAUAAGGGAGUGCUCUCCGGGGGUGGCAUGGCGCGGCAACAGGCGCCAGCGCAGCCUAAUGUCGCGGCCUCCGUUCGCACUCACCGGAAGUCAUCGGAGACUGCAGACUUCGCCGGGGAGAUCAAGGCACAGUUUGUUCGAGCGGCCGAUGCAGUCUGGGCGGUCGGACCGAUCCUGGAGGUCGACAGGCGGAGUUACCAAUACCACCCCCGCAGCUCAGUGUACCAUGUUUCGUCUCGGAUGGUGUCAACGGCUGCAUUACCAAAUUCAGGGCAUGGAGGUGACGAGUUGGAUGUUGGAGGUUGGAAGAAGGUGGCUGAAGGGGGGAGAAGCUUAUCAGUCACCCUGCAGAAACUCUAUAUCUGGGAGAAGAAAUUAUAUAAUGAGGUUAAGUCUGAAGAGAAAAUGCGCCUCCUGCUAGCCAAGAACUCCAAGCGGCUGAAGUUCUUGGAUCAAAAGGGUGCUGAAGCUCAGAAGAUCGAUGCAACUCAAAAUUUGGUCAGGAAGCUGUCGGCAAAAAUAAGAAUGGCUGUGCGAGUUAUUGCUAAGGUUUCAAAAAAGAUAAACAGAGUUAGGGAUGAGGAAUUGUGCCCACAAAUUAUGGCCUUAAUCCAAGGGUUUGUGAAGAUGUGGCAAGAAAAGCUGGACUGCUACCAGACUCAGUGUGAAGCAAUAUCGGAGGCGAAAAACCUGGAUUCGGCUAUCUCCGGCGGGAUCAGUCGGGAUCUAGCGAUGGAGCUUGAAGUGGACUUGGUUAAAUGGAUUGUAAAUUUCUGCUCUUGGGUAAAUGCGCAAAGGAGCUUCGUGAAGGCACUGAACGGAUGGCUGGCACUGUGUCUCAACUAUCAGCAGGAGGAGACGCCCGACGGAGCUCCUCCUUAUUCUCCUGGAAGGGUGGGUGCGCCUCUUGUGUUUGUCAUCUGCAACACCUGGUCUCAAGCCAUGGAUCGGAUUUCCGAGAAGGAAGUGGUUACCGCCAUGCAAGCCCUUGUCUCCAGCGUACGCAACCAGUGCGAGCACAGAGCCUCUGUUGAGCAAAGCGAGCUGAUCUUCGUAACCCGGGAAAGAGAAAAGUGGAACAGGAUUCUGGAGAGGAAGUCCGUGGAGAUUAACAGGGAGGCAGACACACUGAACAAGAAGCUGGCCCUUGUGCCAGGCCGGCAGAGCCUGCUUCCAACGGCGCAAACGUACCAGGCGCAUUUUCUUGAAGCAGACAGCCUGCACGUAAGCUUGAGCCGGGUGCUUCAGUCCUUGGAGAGCUUCGCGUCCAGCUCCCUGCAAGCUUUCCGGGAGACCCUGAGACAUGCCGAAGAAGAAAUGCUGUCCAGAGAGAGUGCUAAAGUUUCAUAG